AGAAUCAACGCUGGCGGCGUGCCUAACACAUGCAAGUCGAACGAGAAAGUGGAGCAAUCCAUGAGUAAAGUGGCGACCGGGUGAGUAACACGUGACUAACCUACCCUUGAGUGGGGGAUAACCUAGGGAAACCUGGGCUAAUACCGCAUAACAUCUUUGGAUCGGAAGAACUGGAGAUCAAAGGAGCAAUUCGCUUAAGGAGGGGGUCGCGGCUGAUUAGCUAGUUGGCGGGGUAAUGGCCCACCAAGGCUUUGAUCGGUAGCCGGCCUGAGAGGGCGCACGGCCACACUGGAACUGAAACACGGUCCAGACUCCUACGGGAGGCAGCAGUGGGGAAUUUUGCGCAAUGGGGGAAACCCUGACGCAGCAACGCCGCGUGGAGGAUGAAGUCCCUUGGGACGUAAACUCCUUUCGACCGGGACGAUAAUGACGGUACCGGUGGAAGAAGCCCCGGCUAACUUCGUGCCAGCAGCCGCGGUAAUACGAGGGGGGCAAGCGUUGUUCGGAAUUAUUGGGCGUAAAGGGCGCGUAGGCGGUGCGGUAAGUCACCUGUGAAACCUCCGGGCUUAACUCGGAGCCUGCAGGCGAAACUGCCGUGCUCGAGGGUGGGAGAGGUGCGUGGAAUUCCCGGUGAAGCGGUGAAAUGCGUAGAUAUCGGGAGGAACACCUGUGGCGAAAGCGGCGCACUGGACCACUUCUGACGCUGAGGCGCGAAAGCUAGGGGAGCAAACAGGAUUAGAUACCCUGGUAGUCCUAGCCCUAAACGAUGGAUGCUUGGUGUGAUCGGUACCCAAUCCGAUUGUGCCGUAGCUAACGCGUUAAGCAUCCCGCCUGGGGAGUACGGUCGCAAGGCUGA
rnacentral:rRNA from 1 species